rnacentral:rRNA from 1 species
GACGAACGCUGGCGGCGUGCCUAACACAUGCAAGUCGAACGGAAAAGCCCUGCUUUUGCGGGGUGCUCGAGUGGCGAACGGGUGAGUAACACGUGAGUAACCUGCCCUUGACUUUGGGAUAACUUCAGGAAACUGGGGCUAAUACCGGAUAGGAGCUCCUGCUGCAUGGUGGGGGUUGGAAAGCUUCGGCGGUUGGGGAUCGACUCGCGGCUUAUCAGCUUGUUGGUGGGGUAGUGGCUUACCAAGGCUUUGACGGAUAGCCGGCCUGAGAGGGUGACCGGCCACAUUGGGACUGAGGGACGGCGCAGACUCCUACGGGAGGCAGCAGUGGAGAGUAUUGCACAGUGGGCGGAAGCCUGAUGCAGCAGCGCCGCGUGCGGGAUGACGGCCUUCGGGUUGUAAACCGCUUUCGCCUGUGACGAAGCGUGAGUGACGGUAAUGGGUAAAGAAGCACCGGCUAACUACGUG